GCCCUGCGCUCAGAAGGGCACCAUGCUGGGUUUAAUGCUCUAUUGCUGCCACCUUGAAAUUCUUAACACUUUUAUCUUUAAAUUCUUGUAUUGCAAACAAACUCUGCUGGAACAGUAGGGCACACACAGGCAGAGGUGGUACUUGUAAAUUGGUGUCUCCUCCACUCUCUGCUGCCUCAUUUGCAUGUUGGACCUGUGAUACCCCACGAGCGCAGAGCUCUUGUGGACCCACCCAUUGUGCAUGGGAGUUGAUCAAGUCUCAAGGCAAGAACAAAGUAGGCAUGCUACUUCUACAACGGACAAAAAACACUGGACUCUUUCCCCAGUUGCCUUUGGCAAUAAACCCCACAGUGACUGAUCUUCAUGACCUCAUCCUGGAAUUUGGCUUGAGUGACCAGUUUUAAUCAACCUGAAAAUAAUGCCUCUUUGUCUAUUGGAAAACAAAUGGCGACAGACUGGCUCUUUCUGCUAUAACCAUAGCUCAUCUGACCAGCUUUGUCCAUGAAAGCCUCAGAAAAGUAUGAGACACAAUUUGAGGAGUUAGUUGUGUGUGAAAAUCUUAAUGAACUCAGUCACCUUGUAAUUUAAUGGCCAAGAAGCAGCUGUCUGAACAGAUUAGCCAUGAAAUCUCCGAUGUGGGGCUGUUUGACCUCAGUUUGCAUGUUUGUAAAACCCGAUUUUGCAGGAUGUGGUCGGCUCUCUGAGUCAAGCGAGGAGUCUCUGAGCACUGCCCACUCCUGUCACAGUACCAGGCUCCAGAGCAGAUGCCGACUCAGUCAUUAGAAGGAAACAAAAGGUGGCACUGCUUUCCUUUGUUUUACACAGCUUUCUUAUAUUAGAGUAGUCUUAUACAAGUAGCAUUUGCUCACUGGCUACUUUUGUUCUCUGAGAAGCUAAAUCAACAUUCAGCUGAAUGUAGCGUUCAGCUACAGCAAUGGGGAGAUCUGUGGUGGGUAAUAAGAACAUCUUAUAUGGACUUUACAGUGCAUUUAUUUCUGAAUAUAGAUAUGACUGUUGCUGGGAUUCAGAAAACUGAAAAUAAAAUAACAAAGACAUUCAAACAGUGUUGCCAAAGGAAAUGCUUAGAAGAACCAGGCAGGUAAAAGUUGGGUUGUACAGGAGACAACUAACAGACCUCCAGGAUUAGUAACAGCAUCCUGCUCAGAACACACACUGCACUUCCCAGGCUCCCUUGCAACUAUGUGAAGCCAUGUGCCAUGGACUGAAUCGUGUCUCCCAAAUUCACAAUUUGAAGCCUAAUAUGCCACCACCCUACCCCACCAGCGCCGUGUGACUGUAUCUGGACAAAGGACCAGUAGGAGGUAAUUAAAGGUAAAUGAGGUUCUAAGGGUGGGCCACUAAUCCAACAGGACUGUAACCUCUGAGAAGAUGAAGAGACCUUUCUCCACCAGGUGGGGACACAGGGGUAGACCCAUGUCUACAAGGCAAAAAGAAAACUAUCACCAGAAAUUGAUUCAGCCAGCACCUUGAUCUGGGACUUCCCAGCCUCCAGAACUCUGAGAUAAAAAAUUCUGUUAUUCGUCCUGCACAGCCUGUGGUACUCGGCUACGGCAGCUUGAGAAGAUAAGAAACCACGUAAUAAAGUUCUGGCCAAUGAUGUAUGA